AUUCUAUUGUCAGGGCUUCUGAACGUUGAUAUGAGAUUUAACAAUUCAUUCACAAUAAUGAGAUUCUCUUCACUGUUGCUUCUUCUGGAUGGAGUUUGCUCUUAAAAAAACAAAGAAGAGAAUGUUUAAAAAAAAAAAAAGUCCUCACAAUUGACAAAAAGUGCAACUAACUAGUGAAAAAAAGAUUUUAAAUUCGCUUUCAAUGAUGAGACAUCUGGUAUCAGAUAAACCCAACGUGAGCCGAGCUGAAGAUCCUGCUGCAGUUCCAACAUCAAAACCUCAGCUCACCAGAAGAUCAUCUCUGACUGUUCCUCCUUAUUUACGAUCCGCUUCACAUCCAGAGACUGCUGAGUUGGAGAUUCCAAUCACCUCUCAUGUCCAAAAGGGUUUGUCCAGGAUAGGUCCAGCAAAUAGGACCUAGAUAGCAGCAUGAUAACAUGGCAACCUCACCCAGAGGUCGUCCACAGUUUCUACUACAGCCGAGACCAGCUGCAGCACCAGAGCUGCCGAUACACCAACCAUCUGGAGCUAAUAAAUGUGAAUACAUCUCUUAGGCUGGACCGUAUAGGUCUGAAAAAUGCUUGGGAGCAGACCUGCUCUUUUAGCUUUCUGGGCAGCUAAGCAGCCAAAGAAAAAGUUAUAUAAUGUUUGGACGAAGUUGCUUCAUAAUCACUUGUACUUCAUGUUGAUUUAUUGUAAAUGCAUUCUGAGGAUUGAGUUGAACUUUUGUACUAUACUUUUUACACUUUUCUAAAAUAUGCUUUAUAUUGCUUUAUAAAAAAUAAUGAAAGCAAACAUGAGUAUAAUUUGUUUAGCAGCUUAAAUUUAUUAUGUUCUAAUCAAUUUCAAAACAGGGUGGCAGGGUGGCACGGUGGCUCGGUGGGUAGCAUUGUCGCCUCACAGCAAGAAGGUCCUGGGUUUGAUUCCCAAGUGGACCAUUCUGUGAUCUUUCUGUGUGGAGUUUGCAUGUUCUCCAUUUGCAUUUCCUCUGGUUUCCUUCUGGUCAAACAGACAAUGAAUAAAUAAAUUAAUGAUUGUCAAUACAACAAUUAUUAAUAUAAAACCUGGUGUUAGCUGCAGCAGGAUGUUCUGUAUUAUUAUGUUGACUUUUUACUUGAUUAAUGGAACAGUUAUGACUAAUUUUGUUUUAUUCUGUUGGUUUCAUUUCAAAAAUUAAUUAAUUCUGUUGAUUCACUUACACUGUUUUUGCUGAAUACUUUUAUGUGUUUUUUUUUUUUUUGCUGGUAAAUGAAAUGUUAAUGUGCUUUGUUCAUUUAAUGUACAUUUUUGUAUAAACUUGUGAGACUCAACAGUGUGGCAUGGUUAUUGCAGAAUGGAUGAAUGGAUGGAUGGACCCUGAGAGUGAAUUAUUAUUGAUUACAUUAUACAGUAUUAAUAUAUUAUAUUACUGAAGACAUUUCUGUAAUCAUCAAUUUCUUUAAUAAAGAGUUUAA